UGAGGAGUGAUCUUCGCAGUGAAGGAAGCAGGACUGUAAAAUCCGGUACUGACGAACAGGAACGGCAUAAGAGGCUAUAUAAAGUGGAUAAGCGUGCACAGCAACGUAACGUCCAAAUAGUAACAAAAUUUUAUAUAGUAGAUGUCGCAGUGAUUGGAGGAAGGAAACGGCU
rfam:Freshwater sediment metagenome lwFormaldehyde_BCIB15615_y1, whole genome shotgun sequence.